rnacentral:rRNA from 1 species
UGGGGAAUAUUGCACAAUGGGCGAAAGCCUGAUGCAGCAACGCCGCGUGAGUGAUGAAGGCCUUCGGGUUGUAAAGCUCUGUCUUUUGGGACGAUAAUGACGGUACCAAAGGAGGAAGCCACGGCUAACUACGUGCCAGCAGCCGCGGUAAUACGUAGGUGGCAAGCGUUGUCCGGAUUUACUGGGCGUAAAGGAUGCGUAGGCGGAUUUUUAAGUGAGAUGUGAAAACCCUAAGCUUAACUUGGGGACUGCAUUUCAUACUGGAAAAUCUAGAGUGCGGGAGAGGAGAAUGGAAUUCCUAGUGUAGCGGUGAAAUGCGUAGAGAUUAGGAAGAACACCAGUGGCGAAGGCGAUUCUCUGGACCGUAACUGACGCUGAGGCAUGAAAGCGUGGGUAGCAAACAGGAUUAGAUACCCUGGUAGUCCACGCCGUAAACGAUGAGUACUAGGUGUAGGAGGUAUCGACCCCUUCUGUGCCGCAGUUAACACAAUAAGUACUCCGCCUGGGAAGUACGAUCGCAAGAUUAAAAACUUAAAUGAAUUGACGGGGGUCAUAGCUG